rnacentral:tRNA from 1 species
GCCGGGAUGGUGGAAUUGGUAGACACGUCGGACUCAAAAUCCGGUGAGGGUUAAACCUCGUGCGAGUUCAACUCUCGCUCCCGGCA